AGGAAAUUAGGUUAUAGGAAGACCAAGGGCCUUCAAAGUUUUUAGAGUUGGUUCGAUUCCAACAUUUCUUG
rnacentral:tRNA from 1 species